rnacentral:lncRNA from 1 species
GUGUUUGUGUACAUGAAGGGGGGCCUUUGACACUCUUCACCCCGCCCCUCCCUUGCUUAGUCGCUCGGCUGGCCCGGCUCACCUUCGGGGUGAAGGCUACCAGCGAGCGUUAUAGCAGACGACUUUAAUAAAUGCAGGCGGCAGCAGGAACUCUGGGAACUUGGGUGCCCUUGCCUGGCAGUAAGGGUUGAAUUAUCCGGAUCUGAAAUACUUUACAGAGCCGAGGGGUGAUAGGCUCUGCAAAAGCACUUUUUGCCCCUCUCCUUUAUGCCAAUACUCGCUGACUGUGCACACAAGUCAUAUUCAGUAUUAAAUACAAACCGGUCUGUAAUUCAAUGGCUCUAGCAAGACGCCUCUGAGAGGGCCAGGUGGCGGGUGCAAGUUGCUCAUUAACCCUUUAGAGUCGCAGUUUGCAGAUCUGAGUUAGAUCCCCGGCUUUGAGGUCCUUCAGUUGCCCUCCUCCCCCACCUCCCCCCGCCACUGCGAGAAAAAUGUGCAAAGAGAAGGAAAUUUGCACAUCAAACGAGGGGCAAUCGCGGCGGUAGAUGAACUUGAUUAGGCAGACGCGUGAGAUCAAAGUGGCCGGGACCAAAGCGGACAGGGUCCAACGUGCCAGCACUGCCAAGAGAAGGCCUUUUGUACUCAGGUUAAAUAAGAACAUCCUGCAAGGAGUCUGUUCUUUUAUGCAGCCUAAAGAUCAAGUAAUAAUCAUUGACACUGAUACUGAGCAUGUCGAUUUUGAAGAGACUAGCAUUUCCUGGUAAUGAAGUGGAGUAUAUAUCCAUAUAUUUCUGUUUUCUGGAUGAGAAGACUAACCUAACUAAGUAGGAACCUUGAAGAAUCAUGUUCUUCCUAGGAAUUACAAAUCCCCCGAUUCCAUGUCUAACAUAAUUUCUACUGGCCUCUUUGCUUCUCAUGCUUUAGUACCAGUGCUUCUGAAUUUGAAAGUCUUCAUGCAAAUUGCCCAGGUUUGCUGGCAGCUGUGUCUCAGAAAAAGCUGUCUUCAGCAAGGCAGAAGCAGAGGAUCUUCUAGAAGAUUUGCACUAUCAGCUUGGUAUUCAGUUCUCUAGCUUGAAAUGAUUUCAGUGCCUACCAGGGUGGUCCAGAGUUGGUGACUAUUAUGGCAUGGCUACCCAGGGCCAGAGAGGUGAGGUUUAAUGAGAAAGAAGAUAGAUGAAAAUGACUCCUCCUCCUGCUUUCACUGCUGCAGCAACUCAGGCCUGCAGACAAGAUCCAGCUCUAUUGCCCAAGCUGGAGUGCAGUGGUGAGAUAAUGAUUCACUGCAGCCUUGAUCUCCUGGGCUCAAGCAGUUCUCCUGCCUCAGCCUCCUGAGUAGCUGGGACCACAGGCACCCUCCACCAUGUCUGGCCAAAAUUUUUUGAAUUUUUUGUAGAGACCAGGUUUCACCAUGUUGCCCAGGCUGAUUUCAAAUUCCUGGGCUCAAGUGAUCUUCCUGCCUCAGCCUCUCAAAGUGCUGAGAUUACAAGUGUGAGCCACCACACCCAGCCAAAAUAUAAAUACGCCUUUAAUAGUAACACCUAAUUACCUAACACCAUCAAAAAUGGGGUGCUCCAUGAAGAAGCACAUAAUUCAAAUUAUUGAAGUUUAUCCCUUCUAAUGACCACAUAGAUUUCUCUUGCCCCAUUAAAAAAUUAGAUAAUCAGUAUUUCUAGGAUAGUUGUUUUCUUCCAACCAAUUAAGGCAUAAUCUAUGUAGCAGAACAUUCAGAGGAUGAUGCCUGGUCAACAUUUGAAUAAACAAUCACUGUGAUGUUACCUCUAUUUAAGAUGACUCCAAUAAAACUUCUAUGGUUUGCAUUAUUAGUUGAUCAGACUUUAAGCAUUAUCUUUUGAUAGGGUCAAGGAACCUGUCUUAACUCCCCAUCUCUGACCAAAAUAUACUUGUUUUCUAUAAGCUAUAAAGCCAGAUAGCCAAUUUUAUGAGAAUUGUCCCUAUACUAUAUCCAUGUGAGCGAUGAGUGCCUGGCAUGAAGAUGCAUAAAGGAGGCAGUAAUAUACAACAACUGAAGCAUAACCUCUGGAGCCAGUCUUCUUCAGACAAAUCCCAAUUCCAUUACUCACUGGCCACCUAAACAAGCUACUUAAUUCAUCUGCCUCAGUUUUCUUCAACUGUUUAAUGGGUAUGAUCAACAAACCAACUUCAGUGGGUUAUCAUAAAUAUUAAUAAAUGAGAGAAUGCAUGUGAAACAAAGCUAUAAGCAAUCAUUAGUAAUAAUAAUAAAAGAUGAUCAUUAUUUUUCAUGGAGUUUUUGCUAGUGCCAUGUACUGUUUUGUUAAUACUAAUUGCCUGAUUUUCUGUCCAUGAAUUUUUGGCUGAUCUAAGUUUCCACUUCCCUCACCCCUUGGCUGGGAUCUAGGUAUGAGAGUUGCUUGGCAAGCAAACUAGAGAUAAGUAAGGUGUUACUAUAUAAAGUUAAUGUAGGCACAUAUGAAUAUCCAAACAUGCCAUAAUGUUGGGGUUUGACCCUUUCCCUAAUACUCAGUUUCUUCAUUUGAAAUGUUCUAAUUGGUGUUUUUAUGUUGG